UGCAAGUCGUGCGAGAAAGUAUCUUCGGAUAUGAGUAGAGCGGCGGACGGGUGAGUAACGCGUAGGAAUCUACCUAGUAGAAGGGGAUAGCCCGGGGAAACCCGGAUUAAUACCGUAUACCUCCUUCGGGAGAAAGAAGGCCUCUCUUUGAAGCUUUCGCUACUAGAUGAGCCUGCGUAAGAUUAGCUUGUUGGUGAGGUAAAGGCUCACCAAGGCUACGAUCUUUAGCUGGUCUGAGAGGACGAUCAGCCACAUUGGGACUGAGACACGGCCCAGACUCCUACGGGAGGCAGCAGUGGGGAAUAUUGGACAAUGGGCGCAAGCCUGAUCCAGCCAUACCGCGUGUGUGAAGAAGGCCUUCGGGUUGUAAAGCACUUUAAGCAGGGAGAAAAAGUUAUAAGUUAAUACCUUAUAACCCUGAUGUUACCUGCAGAAUAAGCACCGACUAAUUCCGUGCCAGCAGCCGCGGUAAUACGGAAGGUGCAAGCGUUAAUCGGAAUUACUGGGCGUAAAGCGCGCGUAGGUGGUUUGUUAAGUUGGAUGUGAAAGCCCUGGGCUCAACCUA
rnacentral:rRNA from 1 species